rnacentral:piRNA from 1 species
UGGAAGGACGGCUUGUCCCUGGAUGCC